GCCUGGCUGGCUUACUCAGUAGAGCACAAGACUCUUGAUCUUGGGGUCAUGAGUUCAAGCCCCAUGUUGGGCA
rnacentral:tRNA from 1 species